CGGUACGUCAACAUGCGCAACGAUCAUU
rnacentral:rRNA from 1 species